UCCGAACGUUUGCAGAAACCCUUCGGGACUGGGAAAGAUUCCUACCACACCUCCUCUUUGGUUAUCGGGAGGUGCCGCAGGAAUCCACGGGGUUUUCCCCGUUUGAAUUAUUAUAUGGGAGAAGGGUCUGAGGUCCCCUGGAUCUCAUUAAGGAGCACUGGGAGGGAGAACACAGCUCCACAGGUACUCCCAUCAUACCUUAUGUACUGGAGUUUCGGAACCGACUGGAAGAACUAACCCGAGCAGUACGGGAAAACCUCCAGGCUGCGCAGACACGUCAGCGCACAUGGUAUGAUCGGAAACCCAGGGACCGUAGCUUUCAGGUAGGACAGAAAGUUUUAAUUUUAAAACCUGUCCGUCAUGACAAGCUACAGGCUGCCUGGCAGGGCCCUUAUAAGGUGCUGGAGCAGCGCUGCGACACCACCUAUAUAAUUGGCCCCUGUGCUGGCUCAGGG